UGGGGAAUAUUGGACAAUGGGGGCAACCCUGAUCCAGCCAUGCCGCGUGUGUGAAGAAGGCCUUUUGGUUGUAAAGCACUUUAAGCAGUGAAGAAGACUCCAUGGUUAAUACCCAUGGACGAUGACAUUAGCUGCAGAAUAAGCACCGGCUAACUCUGUGCCAGCAGCCGCGGUAAUACAGAGGGUGCAAGCGUUAAUAGGAAUUCGUGGGCGUAAAGCGAGCGUAGGUGGCUUGAUAAGUCAGAUGUGAAAGCCCCGGGCUUAACCUGGGAACGGCAUCUGAUACUGUUAGGCUAGAGUAGGUGAGAGGAAGGUAGAAUUCCAGGUGUAGCGGUGAAAUGCGUAGAGAUCUGGAGGAAUACCGAUGGCGAAGGCAGCCUUCUGGCAUCAUACUGACACUGAGGUUCGAAAGCGUGGGUAGCAAACA
rnacentral:rRNA from 1 species